rnacentral:tRNA from 1 species
GCCUGGCUGGCUCAAUUGGAAGAGUGUGUGACUUUUGAUCUUGGGGUCGUGAGUUCAAGCCCCACGUUGGGUA